rnacentral:rRNA from 1 species
UAACACAUGCAAGUCGAACGAGGCCCAUGCAGUGGCAACACUGCGGAAGGCCUAGUGGCGAACGGGUGAGUAACACGUGAGGAACUUGCCCCGGAGACCGGGAUAACUCUCCGAAAGGAGAGCUAAUACCGGAUGUCCUCACCGAAUCGCAUGGUUUGGUGAGGAAAUGGAUUCCGCUCCGGGAGAGCCUCGCGGCCUAUCAGCUAGUUGGUGGGGUAACGGCCCACCAAGGCAUCGACGGGUAGCUGGUCUGAGAGGACGAUCAGCCACACUGGGACUGAGACACGGCCCAGACUCCUACGGGAGGCAGCAGUGGGGAAUCUUGCGCAAUGGGCGAAAGCCUGACGCAGCAACGCCGCGUGCGGGAUGACGGCCUUCGGGUUGUAAACCGCUUUCAGUGGGGACGAACCAAGACGGUACCCACAGAAGAAGCCCCGGCCAACUACGUGCCAGCAGCCGCGGUAACACGUAGGGGGCAAGCGUUGUCCGGAUUUAUUGGGCGUAAAGAGCUCGUAGGUGGUUCGAUAAGUCGGGUGUGAAACCUCCAGGCUCAACCUGGAGACGCCACCCGAUACUGUCGUGACUAGAGUCCAGUAGGGGAGCAUGGAAUUCCUGGUGUAGCGGUGAAAUGCGCAGAUAUCAGGAGGAACACCAGUGGCGAAGGCGGUGCUCCGGGCUGGAACUGAC